UCGAGCGACUGAUUAGAAGCUUGCUUCUAUGACGUUAGCGGCGGACGGGUGAGUAACACGUGGGCAACCUGCCUGUAAGACUGGGAUAACUUCGGGAAACCGAAGCUAAUACCGGAUAGGAUCUUCUCCUUCAUGGGAGAUGAUUGAAAGAUGGUUUCGGCUAUCACUUACAGAUGGGCCCGCGGUGCAUUAGCUAGUUGGUGAGGUAACGGCUCACCAAGGCAACGAUGCAUAGCCGACCUGAGAGGGUGAUCGGCCACACUGGGACUGAGACACGGCCCAGACUCCUACGGGAGGCAGCAGUAGGGAAUCUUCCGCAAUGGACGAAAGUCUGACGGAGCAACGCCGCGUGAGUGAUGAAGGCUUUCGGGUCGUAGAACUCUGUUGUUAGGGAAGAACAAGUACAAGAGUAACUGCUCGUACCUUGACGGUACCUAACCAGAAAGCCACGGCUAACUACGUGCCAGCAG
rnacentral:rRNA from 1 species